UACGGAGGGUGCAAGCGUUAAUCGGAAUUACUGGGCGUAAAGCGCACGUAGGUGGUUUGCUAAGUCAGCUGUGAAAUCCCCGGGCUCAACCUGGGCACUGCAGUUGAAACUGGCAAGCUAGAGUAGGGUAGAGGGGUGUGGAAUUCCAGGUGUAGCGGUGAAAUGCGCAGAUAUCAGGAGGAACACCGGUGGCGAAGGCGGCAUCCUGGACCAACACUGACGCUGAGGAGCGAAAGCCAGGGGAGCAAACGGG
rnacentral:rRNA from 1 species